GGCAAACUCCUCAGAGAAGCUAAGCAGAGGAAGAUCCUUCAUCGGGACAAACAGUCUCAUAAUUCCAUAACUUCAAGGAUUUUGGCUAACAUAAUAUUUUUUGAUGCUUUACUUCUCAGGUUAGUCAUCAAUCUUAUCUUCUUUUUGCUAUGCUUUUGCGCGAUUUAUAUGAGCGAUAACUGCGAUGCUCCGUCCUUCACUUUCGAAGAGAAUUCCCAGAUGGGUCAAUCUAAAAGUAUCCCUUUCUUCAGUUUCUUGCACUAAUAGCAUCCAAAUCAACCCAGAAAUUGAUCAAAACUUACAUAACACAAAUUUCGAAGAAAAGAUUCAAUUUUUGAGGAAUAAGCUGUACCCGGAUAGCUUAAUCAAGGUCUUGCGGAGCACUAAUGAUAUAAACUCUGCUGUUAACUUAUUCAAAUGGGCUUCCCUGCAGAAACGUUUUCAUCACACUGCAGAUACAUUUUAUUGGAUAAUUUUGAAGCUGGGUUUGGCCGGCAAUGUCGAGGAAAUGGACGGUUUUUGUCAAAUUUUGGUAAAAGAUGGGUUCCCAGGUGUAGAACAUGCUCUUGUUUCAUUGAUUGAAUCAUUUGUUAGACAUGGCAGGCUAAAUGAAGCUAUAUGCGUUCUUGUUAACAUGAGUUUGGGUGGUUAUAAGCCUUCCAUUAAUGUAUAUAAUAUUAUUUUGGGAGCUCUUGUAAAGGAGAGGAGAGGAUUUCAAGAUGUGGUGUUCGUUUACAAGGAGAUGGUGAAGGCAGGAGUGGUACCUACUGUUGAUACUUUGAAUUAUUUGUUGGAGGUUUUGUUUGAGAGCAAAAGGAUUGAUUCUGCUUUGGAUCAAUAUAGGAGGAUGGGUAAGAAAGGGUGUAGUCCUAAUAGUAGGACUUUUGAGAUAGUUAUAAAAGGUCUUAUUGUUAAUAAACAAGUUGAUGAUUCCAUUAUCAUUUUGGAUGAGAUGCUAAAAAACAAUUGCUUGCCGGAAUUGAGUUUUUAUAUAUGUAUAAUACCUUUGUUUUGCAGGGAAAAUAAAUUGGAAGAGGCAAUUAGGUUGUUUAGGAUGAUGCAGACUGCCAACUUUGUUCCAAGUUCAUUUAUUUAUGAGGCUCUGAUGCACUGUUUGUGCAAAAACCUUCAGUUACAUGAUGCGGUAAGCCUUAUUGAAGAGAUGAUGGAAAGUUGUUUGACACCAGGUAAUAACGUUCUUGUGGAUGUUGUAAAUGGGUUUUGUAAAUUAGGAAAGAUAAAUGAGGCUGUGAAGUUCUUGGAAGAUAAACAUGUUCUUGAAACUUCUCCAUAUAAUGCAUUGCUUGGAGGUUGUUGUGAUGCUUCUAAAUUCUCUGUGGCUAAGGGUCUGCUGGAGAAAAUGUUCAUGAAAGGUAUAGCUGAUUGUGAUUCUUGGAAUAUUCUAAUCAGAUGGCUUUGUGAGAAGGCAGAAAUCAGGAAGGCACAUGAACUUCUUGGGAGAAUGAUUAUAUCUUCAUUGGUUCCUAAUUUUGCCACAUUCUCAGCUCUUGUUCUUGGUCACUGUAGGUUAAACAAGUUUGAAGAUGCUCUACAACUAUUCCUGCAAUUCCAUGCCAAAUGUUGGGUUUUAGAUUGUAUUUCUUACUCGGAGCUAAUUGAAGGCCUCUGUAGGGCAGGAAAGCUUCUAGAGGCUACUGAAGUGUUUCGCUACAUGUUUGCUAGUGGAUGUUCCCUUCAGCCUUCCUCCCUUAGUAUGCUGAUCAAGGAUGUAUGUGAAAAGGGAAUGGUUAAUGAAGCUGUCAGGCUACAGCAGAUGGCUUAUGAUUCUGGCAUCUCUUGUGCUAAUGCCACUUACAAUUAUAUUCUGCUUGGCUUGUCUAAAUCAGACAAGGGAAGAAAUCUUCUAGAAUUUCUCUCACAAAUGCUGGUUAAGGGCUGCAAUGCAGAUUCAGGAGCAUAUUGCAUUCUGAUACAAAGCAUGAUUGAGCAGAAUCGAAUAAAGGACUCUGCUUUAUUUUUCAAUACCAUGGUUAAAGAGGGUUUAAUACCUGAUGCAGACGUACUGCAUAAUCUAUUAUUAUGCUUAGCCAAUCAUUCACAGCUGUAUCUGAUUUUAACAACAAUUGACAAUCUUGUUCCUGAUUCACAAGUUCUUGAUUCAGCAAUGUACAACAUACUGGUUACUGGUCUCUGGAAAGAGGGCCAUAGGAACGAGGCACGUCGAUUAUUGGAUUUGAUGUUGGAGAAGGGUUGGGUCCCAGAUGCUUCUACUCAUAGAUUGUUGAUUGGAUCUGUUAGUGGCGUGGAAAGUGAACAGAAAAUGUCAACAUAUGAAAACUUUGCAAUCAAAGAUAAUGUUCUUGACAUACUUGUUGAGGGCUUGGGGAAAACAUGAGUAUGUCCAUUUCCAAGAUACAUUUUGAUUAACAGAUCUCUUGAUUUCUUAUGGCAAUUUCUGCUGCUGAGCUUAAAGAUGUAAGAUCUUGUCUCAACUUUUCCAUCUCAGGAGGAUCUGGAAUUGUUUCAUUAAAUUCAUAUUUGUGGCUGUCAUGAGCGGUAUGUACACAGAUAGAUGUAUUAAUUAGUCCUUUUGGAUUGAGUGUUAACAUGCCCAAUUAAUCAAAAUCUGUAUUAUGAACAACGAUCUUGGUGCAAUCCAAAGCUGACGUGACUAAACUUAACCUUC
rnacentral:misc_RNA from 1 species